GUAGGUGGCAAGCGUUGUCCGGAAUUAUUGGGCGUAAAGCGCGCGCAGGCGGUUCUUUAAGUCUGAUGUGAAAGCCCACGGCUCAACCGUGGAGGGUCAUUGGAAACUGGAGAACUUGAGUACAGAAGAGGAAAGCGGAAUUCCACGUGUAGCGGUGAAAUGCGUAGAGAUGUGGAGGAACACCAGUGGCGAAGGCGGUUUUCCGGUCUGUAACUGACGCUGAGGCGCGAAAGCGUGGGGAGCGAACAGGAUUAGAUACCCUGGUAGUCCACGCCGUAAACGAUGAGUGCUAAGUGUUAGGGGGUUUCCCGCCCCCUUAGUGCUGCAGCUAACGCAUUAAGCACUCCGCCUGGGGAGUACGGCCGCAAGGCUG
rnacentral:rRNA from 1 species